UUCCAAUUUGAGUGCACAUUCGCAGUUGAAAGUUUUGUGGUUGAAUCCAGUAGAUUCAAGUCCUUUGAGAGCAACCAAAGCUGCACACAUUCAUUCCUUAGCCUAUUUCAAUUUUCUUUUGUUUUUCAUUUACCAAGUUCUUUGUAAUUUCCAUUGGUUUUUUUGGUUGUAAGUUCCAAAUCCAAGCAAGUGAGGUGAUAGAGUUCACAAGUGCUCUUCCCUCAUUUGUAACUAGACUCAAAGAAGUCUCA
rnacentral:lncRNA from 1 species